rnacentral:rRNA from 1 species
AGAGUUUGAUCAUGGCUCAGAAUGAACGCUGGCGGCGUGCUUAACACAUGCAAGUCGAGCGAGGCCUGGGGGGCAACUCCCAGAGUCGAGCGGCGGACGGGUGAGUAACACGUGGGUAACCUGCCCGGAAGUGGGGAAUACCUCGGGGAAACUCGAGCUAAUACCGCAUGACAUCUCGGGGACGAAAGUUCCUGCGAUCAAAGCGGGGUCGCAAGAUCUCGCGCUACCGGAUGGGCCCGCGCCCGAUUAGCUAGUUGGUGAGGUAACGGCUCACCAAGGCUUCGAUCGGUAACCGGCCUGAGAGGGCGAUCGGUCACACCGGAACUGAGACACGGUCCGGACUCCUACGGGAGGCAGCAGUGGGGAAUCUUGCGCAAUGGGCGAAAGCCUGACGCAGCAACGCCGCGUGGAGGAUGAAGGCCCUUGGGUUGUAAACUCCUGUCGGCUGGGAAGAAAUCGUGCGGUGCUCAUACCAUCGCGCGUUGACUGUACCAGCAAAGGAAGCCCCGGCUAACUCUGUGCCAGCAGCCGCGGUAAUACAGAGGGGGCCAGCGUUAUUCGGAAUUAUUGGGCGUAAAGGGCGCGUAGGCGGCCAUGCGUGUCUUCCGUGAAAUCCCUCGGCUUAACUGAGGACGUGCGGAAGAAACUGCAAGGCUCGAGUCCGGGAGAGGGGGGUGGAAUUCCCAGUGUAGCGGUGAAAUGCGUAGAUAUUGGGAGGAACACCGGUGGCGAAGGCGGCCCCCUGGACCGGUACUGACGCUGAUGCGCGAAAGCGUGGGGAGCAAACGGGAUUAGAUACCCCUGUAGUCC